CGGGGGAGGCCGGAUCCUGGGCUGUGUCCCGGCGCCCUGUGCUCCGGAGCCUGUGCUGGUGGAUUCGCGCUCCCGGGCCGCGCAACCCCCU
rnacentral:pre_miRNA from 1 species